AACUUCUGAAUGUUGACCUCGGAUCAGGUAGGAAUACCCGCUGAACUUAAGCAUAUCAAUAAGCGGAGGAAAAGAAACCAACAGGGAUUGCCCUAGUAACGGCGAGUGAAGCGGCAACAGCUCAAAUUUGAAAUCUGGCUUUCGGGCCCGAGUUGUAAUUUGUAGAGGAUACUUUUGAUGCGGUGCCUUCCGAGUUCCCUGGAACGGGACGCCAUAGAGGGUGAGAGCCCCGUCUGGUUGGAUGCCAAAUCUCUGUAAAGUUCCUUCGACGAGUC
rnacentral:rRNA from 1 species